AUUGAACGCUGGCGGCAGGCUUAACACAUGCAAGUCGAGCGGGGUGAUGGUGCUUGCACUAUCACUUAGCGGCGGACGGGUGAGUAAUGCUUAGGAAUCUGCCUAUUAGUGGGGGACAACAUUUCGAAAGGGAUGCUAAUACCGCAUACGUCCUACGGGAGAAAGCAGGGGAUCACUUGUGACCUUGCGCUAAUAGAUGAGCCUAAGUCGGAUUAGCUAGUUGGUGGGGUAAAGGCCUACCAAGGCGACGAUCUGUAGCGGGUCUGAGAGGAUGAUCCGCCACACUGGGACUGAGACACGGCCCAGACUCCUACGGGAGGCAGCAGUGGGGAAUAUUGGACAAUGGGGGGAACCCUGAUCCAGCCAUGCCGCGUGUGUGAAGAAGGCCUUAUGGUUGUAAAGCACUUUAAGCGAGGAGGAGGCUCUUUUGGUUAAUACCCAAGAUGAGUGGACGUUACUCGCAGAAUAAGCACCGGCUAACUCUGUGCCAGCAGCCGCGGUAAUAC
rnacentral:rRNA from 1 species